GUGGGGAAUAUUGGGCAAUGGGCGAAAGCCUGACCCAGCAACGCCGCGUGAAGGAAGAAGGUUUUCGGAUCGUAAACUUCUAUCCUUGGUGAAGAUAAUGACGGUAGCCAAGAAGGAAGCCCCGGCUAACUACGUGCCAGCAGCCGCGGUAAUACGUAGGGGGCAAGCGUUGUCCGGAAUGAUUGGGCGUAAAGGGCGCGUAGGCGGCCCGGUAAGUCUGAAGUGAAAGUCCUGCUUUUAAGGUGGGAAUUGCUUUGGAUACUGUCGGGCUUGAGUACAGGAGAGGUAAGUGGAAUUCCCGGUGUAGUGGUGAAAUGCGUAGAGAUCGGGAGGAACACCAGUGGCGAAGGCGACUUACUGGACUGUAACUGACGCUGAGGCGCGAAAGUGUGGGGAGCAAACAGGAUUAGAUACCCCAGUAGUCC
rnacentral:rRNA from 1 species